AGAAUCAACGCUGGCGGCGCGCUUAACACAUGCAAGUCGAACGAGAAAGGGGAGCAAUCCCUGAGUAAAGUGGCGUACUGGUGAGUAACACGUGGAUAUCUACCUCUUGGUGGGGAAUAACCUGGGGAAACCUGGGCUAAUACCGCAUAAGUUCGUGAGAAGAAAGGCGUAAGUCGCCGAGAGAGGAGUCCGCGGUCGAUUAGGUAGUUGGCGGGGUAAGAGCCCACCAAGCCAAAGAUCGAUAGCCGGCCUGAGAGGGCACACGGCCACACUGGCACUGAAACACGGGCCAGACUCCUACGGGAGGCAGCAGUGGGGAAUCUUGCACAAUGGGGGAAACCCUGAUGCAGCGACGCCGCGUGAGCGAUGAAGCCCUUCGGGUGUAAAGCUCUUUCGGCAGGAACGAUAAUGACGUACCUGACAAGAAGAAGCGUGCGGACUAACGUACGUACGCCAGCACGCCGAC
rnacentral:rRNA from 1 species